GAUCGCGGUGAUGACUCGGUAAAAUUCAAGCUCAACAGACCGGAAUGCAGGGCUUUCUCUUGCGAGAAAGUUUUGCGUGUCGAAUACCCGCUGAACUGAGCGAUC